rnacentral:rRNA from 1 species
CGUGUAGGCGGCUUUGCAAGUCAGGUGUGAAAGCCCUGGGCUCAACCUAGGAAGUGCACUUGAAACUGCAGAGCUUGAAUGCUGGAGAGGGAAGCGGAAUUCUCGGUGUAGAGGUGAAAUUCGUAGAUAUCGAGAGGAACACCGGUGGCGAAGGCGGCUUCCUGGACAGUUAUUGACGCUGAGACGCGAAAGCGUGGGGAGCAAACAGGAUUAGAUACCCUGGUAGUCCACGCCGUAAACGAUGGGUGCUAGGUGUCGCGGGCUUUGACCCCUGCGGUGCCGUAGCUAACGCAUUAAGCACCCCGCCUGGGGAGUACGGUCGCAAGACUAAA